AAAGGAAUAGACGGGGGAGCGCACAACCGGUGGAGCAUGUGGUUUAAUUCGAUACAAAGCGAAAAACCUUACCUGGGUUUGACAUGUACCUGCACGGCUUAGGAAACUAAGUCUUCUUCGAGAGUGGUACACAGGUGUUGCAUGGCUGUCGUCAGCUCGUGUCGUGAGGCGUCCACUUAAGUGUGGUAACGAGCGCAACCCUUAUCUCGUGUUACAAGUGUCACGAGAGACUGCCCUGCUUUUUGCAGGGAGGAAGGAGAGGAUGACGUCAAGUCAGCACGACCCUUACAUCCAGGGCUACACACAUCCUACAAUGGAGCCGACAACGGGAAGCAAGACCGCAAGGUGGAGCUAAUCCUUAAACGGCCCCUCAGUUCAGAUUGUGGGCUGCAAUUCGCCCACAUGAAGUCGGAAUCGGUAGUAAUCGCAAAUCAGCAGGUUGCGGUGAAUACGUUCUCGCUCCUUGUACACACCGCCCGU
rnacentral:rRNA from 1 species